rnacentral:rRNA from 1 species
UACGUAGGGGGCUAGCGUUGUCCGGAAUCAUUGGGCGUAAAGCGCGCGUAGGCGGCCCGGUAAGUCCGCUCUGAAAGCCCAGGGCUCAACCCUGGAAUGCGGGUGGAUACUGCCGGGCUAGAGUCCGGAAGAGGCGAGUGGAAUUCCUGGUGUAGCGGUGGAAUGCGCAGAUAUCAGGAGGAACACCAAUAGCGAAGGCAGCUCGCUGGGACGGUACUGACGCUAAGGCGCGAAAGCGUGGGGAGCAAACAGG